rnacentral:rRNA from 1 species
GAUGAACGCUGGCGGCGUGCCUAAUACAUGCAAGUCGAGCGAACGGACGAGAAGCUUGCUUUUCUGAUGUUAGCGGCGGACGGGUGAGUAACACGUGGAUAACCUACCUAUAAGACUGGGAUAACUUCGGGAAACCGGAGCUAAUACCGGAUAAUAUUUUGAACCGCAUGGUUCAAAAGUGAAAGACGGUCUUGCUGUCACUUAUAGAUGGAUCCGCGCUGCAUUAGCUAGUGGGUAAGGUAACGGCUUACCAAGGCAACGAUGCAUAGCCGACCUGAGAGGAUGAUCAGCCACACUGGAACUGAGACACGGUCCAGACUCCUACGGGAGGCAGCAGUAGGGAAUCUUCCGCAAUGGGCGAAAGCCUGACGGAGCAACGCCGCGUGAGUGAUGAAGGUCUUCGGAUCGUAAAACUCUGUUAUUAGGGAAGAACAUAUGUGUAAGUAACUGUGCACAUCUUGACGGUACCUAAUCAGAAAGCCACGGCUAACUACGUG